rnacentral:sRNA from 1 species
CAAGAAGUGCUAGAUGUUGCCGAUCGCCAGAAUUCCGAUACGCGUCGUGGUGCCAAUACAAACGGUCGUCAGGACACGAUUAACGUGAAUCUGCGCGCAUAAGCAGCUGCGACGACGAGUCAUAACACUUUCUUUAAAUGCAUUAUUUGGAAGUGAUGUACGGAGCAAGAGAAUGAAAUUACCGAUUUAUCUAGACUAUU